CGCACAGACAGAGACACACAGAUGACUCAGAGACAGAGAUAUCACAAGAAGCAGAGACUUAACGUAUAGAGGGCUUGUAUUUGAUGUACGACGCCUUCUGGCAACCAAGUUGGAAGACCAUCACAUUAAUUCUAGAAGCAGAGACUUAAUGUAUAGUAGACCUACAUAGAAAGAAAGUCCCAGGCAUUGUUAAAAUGUCAAAGGUCAACUAUGCUGUGCCAGAUAUGACCAAGAAGGUCAAGUUUGACAGAGGUGAGAUGGAGGAGAGGAUUGUGGAUAUCUAUGUCAGUGCAGACACCCUGAGAGACGGUGAGACCAGCACCAAGAGAGAAGAGACAGCAGACUCUGCUCCUAAUAAUGGACCAGGAGACCAGCACUCAGAUAACACACACACACACACACACACACACACACACACAAGAACAACGUAAACAUCUCUUGUUUGUUUCCACAGAGCCUGAUAGAUCAGGGAAGAGACCCUUCCUAGUUGCUGCAGUGUUUCUGGGGCUGCUGUGUGUUCUACUGGCUGGGAUCAUAGGCCUGUCUGUCUACUAGCAGCAUUUUCAAAAGGGAUGGAGAAACUUUGACUACAGUUGUACUUCCUCUAUACUAAGAAAACCUGGGAAGAGAGAGAAGCAGUCCUGGUGAUCAUAAACAGCAGAGAGGAACAGUUUUUUAUAUUUCUCAACAACUGACCAUUUGUCUUCAACCUCCACCUGAGAGCCUGGGAUGGUCUGACUGACUGUUACUGAGGAGACCUGGAAGUGGGUGGAUGGCACAUCACUGACCACAGGGUACUGGGGGAAAGGACAGCCUGAUGAUAGAGUGCAGGAGGGCUGUGUUGAGAUUUACUCUGGACAAGUUGACCCUGUACAGACAUGGAAUGAUGACAAUUGUACCAAAUAUCAUAACUGGAUCUAUGAGAAAGCUAACUAUCUGUCUGUCUGUCUGUCUGUCUGUCUGUCUGUCUGUCUGUCUGUCUGUCUGUCUGUCUGUCUGUCUGUCUGUCUGUCUGUCUGUCUGUCUGUCUGUCUGUCUGUCUGUCUGUCUGUCUCCCCUUUCUCUCUUCUUUCCCAUAGUUAUUAUGUUAAUGGUUGUGUUGGUUCCACUUAUCUGGGCUCCGUUAUUUACAAAACAGAUAAGGAAUACUUAAAAUGUGCAUAUAUAAUUAGAAUACAGCCGUAGACAGAAGUCAAAGAUCAAACAUCAGACAUGCAACUGAUGUCUCUCCUGAGUUCUGCCCCGAACAAAAGAAAGACGGCAUCUUAUAUACCCGAGAUCAGACCUUAUGGUAUGAUCUCCUAUGUCAAAACCUGCAUGUGCAGCUAAAGUUAUUCUUAACACAAGGUUUCUGAGAACCUGUCUCAGCAGUAUGCAAAUCUGCCCUUGUUUUAGAGAAAAACAGACAGUGUCUCUCUGUGUCUCGCUAUCACCCACAGUCCCUUUUCUCACCUUUCCUCACAGAUGCUGGGCGGCGGGUUUUGGCAGAGAGCUAGACACAGACAGAGGCCUCAAUAUUCAGCUAUAGAGUGAGCAAAAGUACAAUGGCACGAAAGCAAAUUAGUAACAACAUAAUCAAUGGUGGGGGUCUUUAGAAGACCCACAAUAUCAACUUUAACCCUUCAGUUGGAUAAGGUCCUGAAUGGUUAAGUGAUGAUUCCACCUAGUGGUUUAAAUGAGAGAUGAAUUCACCAAGGAGGUGAAAUAAUGGUAUUACAGACUGUCUCAAAACACACCGGAGAAUACAAUCCUAGGGGAGGGACCUUGGACCUUCUCUCCCAAUAGGGUUGAUAGGAGGUGAGGAAUUGAAGAAACACAAACUGAGAUGAAGAAGAAAAUUAAGAGAAAGGCAGAAAGAAAAUAAGAAUAGUUAUGUUAAGAUUUAAUAAAAGGAGUGUGUAGACAUACCUUAAUGGGUACGCAUUGGUUGAAUCAACAUUGUAUCCAUUUCAUUUAAAUAAAAUUACGCUGAACCAA